UACGUAGGGUGCGAGCGUUGUCCGGAAUUAUUGGGCGUAAAGGGCUCGUAGGCGGUCUGUCGCGUCGGGAGUGAAAACUCAGGGCUUAACCCUGAGCCUGCUUCCGAUACGGGCAGACUAGAGGUAUGCAGGGGGAGAACGGAAUUCCUGGUGUAGCGGUGGAAUGCGCAGAUAUCGGGAAGAACACCCGUGGCGAAGGCGGCUCUCUGGAACGGUACUGACGCUGAGACGCGAAAGCGUGGGGAGCGAACAGG
rnacentral:rRNA from 1 species